UAGCCUCCACUCUCAAGCUAACAAUUCAUCAAAAUUACCACUAAAGUGUUCCUACAGGUUUGUGGCUUCAGCGUUUUCUGUUCCAGAUAUUCCCAGGAGUGUUGGAAGGAGAAUGUGCCAGCUAAAAAUAUCCCAUGAAUCUGAGGGAGAAAUUCAUAAAACUGUAUGGAUCAUGAUCUUUGACAAACAUUUCGGUGCCUUUUGUUCUCUCACACCCAAACUCUGGUCCAGGAAAAAUAAAAUAAGAUAAAAUAAAAUGUCUUCAGAUAGUCA